rnacentral:rRNA from 1 species
GACGUAGGGCGCGAGCGUUGUCCGGAUUUAUUGGGCGUAAAGAGCUCGUAGGCGGCUUGUCGCGUCGACUGUGAAAACCCGUGGCUCAACCAUGCGGUCUGCAGUCGAUACGGGCAGGCUAGAAUUCGGUAGGGGAGACUGGAAUUCCUGGUGUAGCGGUGAAAUGCGCAGAUAUCAGGAGGAACACCGGUGGCGAAGGCGGGUCUCUGGGCCGAUAUUGACGCUGAGGCGCGAAAGCUAGGGGAGCAAACAGG